rnacentral:lncRNA from 1 species
UCACUUACUCAAACCAAACCAUCAAGAUGAAAUGUUUAACAACGGUAGAAAUGCUUAUGUAUAGUCAAAUGGUUACAACGGUUCAAAAUGUAGUGUAAUGUGUUCAUAUGCUGGAUGAGCAUAUGCAACAGUAAUGUAAUGUGAAACAAUGUACUACGUAUGCACACAAUGGGCGUACGUAGCAUGAAAUUAAUGUAAUGUGAAACAAUGUACUAAGUACGCACACAAUGGGCAUACAUAGCAUAAACACAAUGAAAUCAUGUACUAUAUAUGUACUAUCGA